UACGUAGGGGACGAGCGUUGUCCGGAAUUACUGGGCGUAAAGGGCGCGCAGGCGGAUAUUUAAGUCAGCUGUAAAAGGCAUGAGCUCAACUCAUGUAUGCGGUUGAAACUGGGUAUCUAGAGUGCUGGAGAGGUAGGCGGAAUUCCCGGGGUAGCGGUGAAAUGCGUAGAUAUCGGGAAGAACACCAGUGGCGAAGGCGGCUUACUGGCCAGCAACUGACGCUGAGGCGCGAAAGCCAGGGGAGCGAACGGGAUUAGAUACCCCGGUAGUCCUGGCCGUAAACGAUGAAUGCUAGGUGUGGGUGUCGAGAGGCAUCCGUGCCGGAGUUAACGCGAUAAGCAUUCCGCCUGGGGAGUACGAUCGCAAGAUUGAAACUCAAAUGAAUUGGCGGGG
rnacentral:rRNA from 1 species